rnacentral:rRNA from 1 species
AGGAAUUGGCGGGGGAGCACCACAACGCGUGGAGCNUGCGGUUUAAUUGGAUUCAACGCCGGACAUCUCACCAGAGGCGACAGCUGUAUGAUAGCCAGGUUGAUGACUUUGCUUGACUAGCUGAGAGGAGGUGCAUGGCCGCCGUCAGCUCGUACCGUGAGGCGUCCUGUUAAGUCAGGCAACGAGCGAGACCCACGCCCUUAGUUACCAGCUUAUCCUUUUUUGGAUGAUGGGCACACUAAGGGGACCGCCUAUGAUAAAUAGGAGGAAGGAGUGGACGACGGUAGGUCUGUAUGCCCCGAAUCCUCUGGGCAACACGCGGGCUACAAUGGCUGAGACAAUGGGUUCCGACACCGAAAGGUGGAGGUAAUCCUCUAAACUUAGUCGUAGUUCGGAUUGAGGGCUGUAACUCGUUCUCAUGAAGCUGGAAUGCGUAGUAAUCGCGUAUCACUAUUGCGCGGUGAAUACGUCCCUGCUCCUUGCACACACCGC